GAAACUCAAAUGAAUUGACGGGACCGCACAAGCAGCGGAGCGUGUGGUUUAAUUCGUUGCUACACGAAGAACCUUACCUGGGUUUGACAUAUAGGUUGUAGGGAACUGAAAAGGGACCGACCUUCGGGAGCCUAUACAGGUGUUGCAUGGCUGUCGUCAGCUCGUGUCGUGAGAUGUUCGGUUAAGUCCGCUAACGAGCGCAACCCUCGUCGUAUGUUAUAUGUGUCAUACGAGACUGCCGGUAAAAAGCCGGAGGAAGGUGAGGAUGAUGUCAAGUCAGCAUGACCUUUAUAUCCAGGGCUACACACACGCUACAAUGGUCUGUACAAUGGGUAGCCAAGCCGCGAGGCGGAGCCAAUCCUGAAAGCAGGCCUCAGUUCAGAUUGCAGUCUGCAACUCGACUGCAUGAAGCCGGAGUUGCUAGUAACCGCAGGUCAGCAAUACUGCGGUGAAUACGUUCCCGGGUCUU
rnacentral:rRNA from 1 species